GGGUUGUGAGGUUAAGCGACUAAGCGUACACGGUGGAUGCCCUGGCAGUCAGAGGCGAUGAAGGACGUGCUAAUCUGCGAUAAGCGUCGGUAAGGUGAUAUGAACCGUUAUAGCCGGCGAUUUCCGAAUGGGGAAACCCAGUGCAAUUCGUUGCACUAUCGUUAAGUGAAUACAUAGCUUAACGAAGCGAACCGGGGGAACUGAAACAUCUAAGUACCCCGAGGAAAAGAAAUCAACCGAGAUUCCCCCAGUAGCGGCGAGCGAACGGGGAGCAGCCCAGAACCUGAAUCAGUUUGUGUGUUAGUGGAAGCGUCUGGAAAGUCGCAGGGUACAGGGUGAUACUCCCGUACACUAAAAUGCAUAUUCUGUGAGUUCGAAGAGUAGGGCGGGACACGUGGUAUCCUGUCUGAAUAUGGGGGGACCAUCCUCCAAGGCUAAAUACUCCUGACUGACCGAUAGUGAACCAGUACCGUGAGGGAAAGGCGAAAAGAACCCCGGCGAGGGGAGUGAAAAAGAACCUGAAACCGUGUACGUACAAGCAGUGGGAGCCUACUUGUUAGGUGACUGCGUACCUUUUGUAUAAUGGGUCAGCGACUUAUAUUCUGUAGCAAGGUUAACCGAAUAGGGGAGCCGCAGGGAAACCGAGUCUUAACUGGGCGUUAAGUUGCAGGGUAUAGACCCGAAACCCGGUGAUCUAGCCAUGGGCAGGUUGAAGGUUGGGUAACACUAACUGGAGGACCGAACCGACUAAUGUUGAAAAAUUAGCGGAUGACUUGUGGCUGGGGGUGAAAGGCCAAUCAAACCGGGAGAUAGCUGGUUCUCCCCGAAAGCUAUUUAGGUAGCGCCUCGUGAACUCAUCUUCGGGGGUAGAGCACUGUUUCGGCUAGGGGGUCAUCCCGACUUACCAACCCGAUGCAAACUACGAAUACCGAAGAAUGUUAUCACGGGAGACACACGGCGGGUGCUAACGUCCGUCGUGAAGAGGGAAACAACCCAGACCGCCAGCUAAGGUCCCAAAGUCAUGGUUAAGUGGGAAACGAUGUGGGAAGGCACAGACAGCCAGGAUGUUGGCUUAGAAGCAGCCAUCAUUUAAAGAAAGCGUAAUAGCUCACUGGUCGAGUCGGCCUGCGCGGAAGAUGUAACGGGGCUAAACCAUGCACCGAAGCUGCGGCAGCGACACGAUGUGUUGUUGGGUAGGGGAGCGUUCUGUAAGCCGUUGAAGGUGGCCUGUGAGGGUUGCUGGAGGUAUCAGAAGUGCGAAUGCUGACAUAAGUAACGAUAAAGCGGGUGAAAAGCCCGCUCGCCGGAAGACCAAGGGUUCCUGUCCAACGUUAAUCGGGGCAGGGUGAGUCGACCCCUAAGGCGAGGCCGAAAGGCGUAGUCGAUGGGAAACAGGUUAAUAUUCCUGUACUCGGUGUUACUGCGAAGGGGGGACGGAGAAGGCUAUGUCGGCCGGGCGACGGUUGUCCCGGUUUAAGCAUGUAGGCGGAGGUUCCAGGUAAAUCCGGUACCUUAUUAACGCUGAGGUGUGAUGACGAGGCACUACGGUGCUGAAGUGACAAAUGCCCUGCUUCCAGGAAAAGCCUCUAAGCAUCAGGUAACAUCAAAUCGUACCCCAAACCGACACAGGUGGUCAGGUAGAGAAUACCAAGGCGCUUGAGAGAACUCGGGUGAAGGAACUAGGCAAAAUGGUGCCGUAACUUCGGGAGAAGGCACGCUGAUGGUAGGUGAAGCGACUUGCUCGUGGAGCUGAACUCAGUCGAAGAUACCAGCUGGCUGCAACUGUUUAUUAAAAACACAGCACUGUGCAAACACGAAAGUGGACGUAUACGGUGUGACGCCUGCCCGGUGCCGGAAGGUUAAUUGAUGGGGUUAUCCGUAAGGAGAAGCUCUUGAUCGAAGCCCCGGUAAACGGCGGCCGUAACUAUAACGGUCCUAAGGUAGCGAAAUUCCUUGUCGGGUAAGUUCCGACCUGCACGAAUGGCGUAAUGAUGGCCAGGCUGUCUCCACCCGAGACUCAGUGAAAUUGAACUCGCUGUGAAGAUGCAGUGUACCCGCGGCAAGACGGAAAGACCCCGUGAACCUUUACUAUAGCUUGACACUGAACACUGGUCCUUGAUGUGUAGGAUAGGUGGGAGGCUUUGAAGUGUGGACGCCAGUCUGCAUGGAGCCAACCUUGAAAUACCACCCUUUAAUGGCUGGUGUUCUAACGUAGACCCGUCAUCCGGGUUGCGGACAGUGUCUGGUGGGUAGUUUGACUGGGGCGGUCUCCUCCCAAAGAGUAACGGAGGAGCACGAAGGUUAGCUAAUCCUGGUCGGACAUCAGGAGGUUAGUGCAAUGGCAUAAGCUAGCUUGACUGCGAGCGUGACGGCGCGAGCAGGUGCGAAAGCAGGUCAUAGUGAUCCGGUGGUUCUGAAUGGAAGGGCCAUCGCUCAACGGAUAAAAGGUACUCCGGGGAUAACAGGCUGAUACCGCCCAAGAGUUCAUAUCGACGGCGGUGUUUGGCACCUCGAUGUCGGCUCAUCACAUCCUGGGGCUGAAGUAGGUCCCAAGGGUAUGGCUGUUCGCCAUUUAAAGUGGUACGCGAGCUGGGUUUAGAACGUCGUGAGACAGUUCGGUCCCUAUCUGCCGUGGGCGCUGGAGAAUUGAGGGGGGCUGCUCCUAGUACGAGAGGACCGGAGUGGACGCAUCACUGGUGUUCGGGUUGUCAUGCCAAUGGCAUUGCCCGGUAGCUAAAUGCGGAAGAGAUAAGUGCUGAAAGCAUCUAAGCACGAAACUUGCCCCGAGAUGAGUUCUCCCUGACCCUUUAAGGGUCCUGAAGGAACGUUGAAGACGACGACGUUGAUAGGUCGGGUGUGUAAGCGUAGCGAUACGUUGAGCUAACCGAUACUAAUGAACCGUGAGGCUUAACCUUACAACGCCGAAGCUGUU
rnacentral:rRNA from 1 species